rnacentral:rRNA from 1 species
GCCUACGGGAGGCAGCAGUGGGGGAUAUUGCACAAUGGGGGAAACCCUGAUGCAGCGACGCCGCGUGAGUGAAGAAGUAUUUCGGUACGUAAAGCUCUAUCAGCAAGGAAGAAAAUGACGGUACUUGACUAAGAAGCCCCGGCUAAAUACGUGCCAGCAGCCGCGGUAAUACGUAUGGGGCAAGCGUUAUCCGGAUUUACUGGGUGUAAAGGGAGCGUAGGCGGUACGGCAAGUCAGAAGUGAAAGCCUGGGGCUCAACCCCGGAAUUGCUUUUGAAACUGUCGAACUAGAGUGUCGGAGGGGUA